GAUCAGCAUAAUUUUUAGAGUUAUCUGGGAAGUUUAAUUGAAAUGCGAUUUUGUGCGAUUCGUAAGGGCGUGUUUGGCCCUUCCUAUUUGUGGGAAGCUUUUGUAUAUGCAUAUAUGCCUUAUGAGUUGUUGAACUCAUCUAUUUUGAACCAAACAAAAAAUAAAAAUAUCUAGAGGAAGGGGAAGGAGAACCGUGAGAGAGAGAAGAGGCAAAGCUUCUCCCUAAGGAAUUCAACAUCCAUGGAAGCUUGAAGACGGUUGAAGAAGAUAGAAGAGAGAGGAAAGAUCAACCAAAAGCUUGGGAAAAAUUGAAGAGACUAAGGGAUGAACAAAGGUUUGGGUAAGGUCGAGACGAGGACAUUGUACCAUUACCACCGGGAAUCGAUCACUGUGAGUAGUAGUAC